GCACUGGACCGUAAUUCAACACUCCGGGAUCGGCUUUGUUUAGAAAGAUCUUGACAGAACCGCUUCCCAGAAGUUAUCAGAAUGAUUGUGUCGACAAUUUUUCUCAGUUUAUUACUGACUUUCUUAUCAUGUGUCCACUCGGAGAUUGUUUUGACUCAGCCAAAGGCAGAGACUGGCCGUCCCGAAGGCAGCCUGGAACUGACCUGUAAAACCAGCGGGUUCGAUCUCAGCAGCUACAGCAUGUACUGGGUCCGCCAGGUUCCCGGCCAGGGUCUGGAGUGGCUGAUUAGCUACUAUAGUUCAUCCAGCAAUUACUAUGCACCAGCGAUUAAGGGUCGAUUUACUGCGUCCAAAGACACUUCAAGCAACAUUUUCUUGUUGAACAUGGGGAACCUGAAGAUCGAAGACACUGCCAUCUAUUACUGUGCAAGUGGGUCACAGUGCUGUGCACAGCGACAUCCUCAUACAAUAACCACUGACAAGGAUUUAUCUCAAAUUGGUGAUUUCUACCGUGGCAGGAGCGUGAAAUAAUGUGAGAUGCAAUUUAAACACAAUCCA